rnacentral:misc_RNA from 1 species
GAUGAAGAACGCAGCGAAAUGCGAUACGUAAUGUGAAUUGCAGAAUUCAGUGAAUCAUCGAGUCUUUGAACGCACAUUGCGCCCCCUGGUAUUCCGGGGGGCAUGCCUGUCCGAGCGUCAUUGCUGCCCUCAAGCACGGCUUGUGUGUUGGGCCUCCGUCCUCCUCCCGGGGGACGGGCCCGAAAGGCAGCGGCGGCACCGCGUCCGGUCCUCGAGCGUAUGGGGCUUCGUCACCCGCUCUUGUAGGCCCGGCCGGCGCUUGCCGACACAUCAAUCUUUUUUCCAGGUUGACCUCGGAUCAGGUAGGGAUACCCGCUGAACUUAUGCAUAUCAAUAAGCGGAGGA